rfam:Ixodes scapularis strain Wikel colony gcontig_1108378825238, whole genome shotgun sequence.
CCCUGGUUAGUUCGGCUGGUAGAGCACUCCACUAGGAAGGGAGAGGUCCCUGGUUUGAUACCAGGACCAGGCA